AAAAGAGAAACCUUUGAGGAGAUAGGAUUGUAGUAACAUUCAUUUCAUUUUAUAGUUUUUCUUUUUUAAUGUUAUAGUUUAGCAAAAUGUUGCAAGUAUGAACAUUAGCAAAAUUUUAAGAAAAAGGAAACAAUGUAAUCUGAAUACAAAACUGGCACUCAGCUUUUGUCGGACCAUUUUUUCUAUUUUACUAAAAUAUCUAUACCUAUUAAAAAACAAUUAUUAUGCUAACAUAUUAAAUUAUUAAUAAGUUGUGUAGUAUAUUUUGGAAAAAGUGCAUUAUUGGACAAUAAUGGAUUUAUGGUUUUAGAUAUAUUUUUUUAAUGAAUACAUAUGAAUAGUUAUAAACCUUACCAUGUGUCCUAUGGUGUGACACUAAAAAUGUAUAAAACAAAUAUAUAUAUUUCCUUUAAAAUGUAAUAAUUUUUUUGUGUUAUUAAUAUUUAUUUUUAUAUUAUAUAAUAGCAUAAGAGAAAUGUAGUUUAGUUUAAUUCUAAAUUUUUGCUUUUUCACAUCAUGGGACACAUUUGUCAACUACCCGAAUAUAAACAAGUCAUUUUAUCCAUUACUUCAUCCUUGGAUUGGAUUUUUUAGUUGUUGAUAAAUAUCCAUUUUAUAAUAUUUAGGCCUACCUGUUUUGAAUCAUAUUGUAUGUGUUUCCCCAAUUCCUAUUUCUUAUAUAAUUUCAGUGUUUCUGUAGCUCAACUGUUAGUGGACAAAAUAAAAUUGUAAAGCUUAAAAAAGCAUAAUGCAUAAUACAUACAGUCACUAAAAAAAUGUGUACGUCUUUUGUGUCUUACUUAAAACACAACAUCUGAAACACCGUAUGACUGCAUUUUUAUUUACACGUCUCGAAUGUGUAUGUGCAAAAGGCCGGCACCAUAGGGUGUGUUUUUAUUCGUGUGUGUUCCCACAGCCGUGUCUCUGACAUGUUCCGGUACCUGCUAAUCACCCGGAUUUUGUGUUUCAUCUCAUAUGAGUCAGUUGUUCACAGCCAUUUCUCAGCAUUAGAAAUCUGCAUCAUGUUUCAACACACUGACUCUCAGCCCUCAUAAAUUACACAGUUAUGGCAACUUAAACAAGUGCUGAAAAGCCACGAACAGAGCUUUACUUUACCAUCAGUGAAGCAUAAGACUCCACCAUCACACACACACACACACACACACACAGAGACACACACACUUACAGUAGCACCCGCCAGCUUCCAUGCUACUCAAAUAAACAAAGAUUAAUAAUUGAAUAAUGUUCAAUUUAGGACAACAAAUGACUGAUAAAAGUGGUCAGACACCUCUGGAAUAUCUACUACUGUUUUAUACCAACUUUCCACUAUUUUCUUUAAAUCCAGAGUAAACACAUAUCAAAUUUAUAAUAAGUGUCUUAACACCAUCACAUUACUUAAAUUGUUUCAUUUCACUUGUUACCGGAUGCCAGGAAUGUUACAUGGGUGUGGGGAACUCUAUUUAUAAAAACACAUUUGCAAAAUAAUAGUCAGCAUUAAAAUGCUAAUUUAAAUAAAUACGAAUACAUUGGGUUUUCAAAAAUGAAAUAGUAAGAAAAUAAUCAAAAGUUGAAAACAAAAUUCCAAAAUAUAAUAUAACGAGGUAAAACACAUGUUUUUUUGUGGAACAUACUGUAGAAAACUGUGUCAUGUGACAGGAGGCAGGAGUAGAAACGCUCUGAUUGGCUGAUUACACAGGGGUACUUCAUGUCAUGUCUGAUUCUGUAAUGACAGUUUGUAAACUCAGAAUUUUCUAACAGCUCUGACAUUUACCAUCUGACCGCCUUCAACAUCUUUGCAUUAAAGAGUGUUGACUUUAGGAAUAAAAUGUAACAGUUAACUUUUAAUAUUUUGGUUAAAUGAUUCCAAAUAUGACUUUUAUCAAUUUAAUCUCAUGUUUUAACACAAAUUUCAUGUAAAUAUAAAUGAAAGACAUACAAUCUAUAGUGUUGUAACCAGAGAAACCGAUAAUUCCAAGAAUGUGAAGAGCUUGUCACGGGUUGUCACCUGUAAUUACUGUAAAUAUUACAGUAAAUAGGACACAGAGCCAACGACCACCUAUGAUGUUCUCAACAAUGUGCUUUAAUCUGACGAAAAUGGAAAGUGAUUUACUUACCCAAUCUGGUUUCACGUCCAAAUCGACAUAAAAAGAGUGAGCCAGUUUUUAAGAGAUACAUUAAAUGUAUACCAAAAUUUACUGCAGUAAGUGCACAUGUAGAAGCAUUGGUAUUUUUUGCAGGAAAUGUUUUCGUUUUUUUUGCAAUUUAUUCAAUUUAUUUUAUGUUUAGGUGCCUAUAAUUAUAUUUUCAUUACAAAAAUACAAGUCUACUUUUGUGUUUAUUAAAUUAUUUUUGUUAUAUAAAAAACGUUGACACUUUAAUGCCUUAGUUAACAAAAAAAUAAAUAAAUAUAUACCACAAACCACUUAUAGUAACAAUUACACCUACACUCACAAAACCACAAAGCAACAUAUUCAAAGCAUUAGUAUCACCAUGAUUUUACAUAUUAACUGUGAAAAAAACAUUCAAAUGUAAUGUUUUGGCAAAAUCUUUGUCUCAGGUUCCUACUACAAUAACUGGUGAGGGCUGAUCAAUGCAAACAUUGAGGUCUUUUUUGCCUAAUAUACAGAAUGAGACACACAUUCAUGUGACAGAAUAGGGGCAAAACAACAUCACAGUUGAAUAAAUUAAGUGGUUUUUCUCAAAUGUUAAUGAUUUUAAAUAAUUCAGGCCCAUUUGUAGCAUUAGCAAAACUUUUAUUUUCCAAACUCUGUUCCUGUUUUGAGUUGUUUAUUGCAACGGCAAUGAUAUUUUCUCUAUGAUGCAUCGCAACCUUUGUUAGAGUGAAAAAAAACUCCUAAAACAAAUAUUAAAUCCAGAAUAAAAAUCCAGCGGGAUUUUUAUAAAAUUAGUGCUAAUCUGGUUCUCAGCAUUUCUAGUUGUUUUAACAAAUGUAGUCCACCCAAAAUUAUGAUCAGAUCUUUGAUAACUAAAACCGAUCAGUGGUGGACCCAUUUAAUAUUGUUUAAAUCUCGUGAGUUACAUAGAUAACGCUUUGUGUGUAAAUUCUUUGGUGUCAAUAUUGGUGCCAAACUUUGAUAAUAGAAUGAGCAUUUAUUCUCUUUCCGACAAGUAAUCUCAUUGUCAUCACAACCUUUUACUUCACUUUCGUUCCCAUCAAACAAAUGAGACAUGCAAAUCUCGUAACGUUUUCAUUGACUGCUUCUCAUUUGUGCGGCACGGUGACAUCAAUCAGAUAUAAUUAGCACAAACUGGGCCCAUAUCAGAACCAUUAUACUCGAGGCAUUGUCCUAGAAAUGGCAAUCUUGACCUCUUACUUCUCCCCCACUUUCGUCCUUAAACGACAACACAUGCAAAGGUGAAGCCCCGGCACAGAGAUACGAUACGCGGCACGAUUACAGAGCAACAAAACGCCGAAAAGCCACGUGAAAGUAUCUAAAUGAGCAUACAGUACACCAUACAAUGGGAAUUAAACGCGCGGGGCAGCUGGACUCUUAUCUGAACGAAACCGAGCAACAAAGGAUCCCUAAGACUAAGAGGCUUGAUGCAUGAGAAAGCUAUGGGCCAGCUAUUGUGACUGCCCUUCUGCUGAGCAAAUAGUCCAAACUGUUCAUUCCCCGUCUUCCAUUCUCUCGCCGGCACAUUGUUUGUGUCCUUGCAUUUCAUUCGGCAAGGAAGAUUGCUCUCAGGCCCAGUGAGCAAACAGUCCAGAAAAGAGCCGGCUAUCUUCUGCUGUUCCCAGGAGAACUAGCAUUUUGAUUUGGGCUCCAAGCUGUCAGAGGAUUGGAGAGUUGAUGUCAGGGCGCCUGAAUUAAUUGCUUUAAGCCGAGGAGGGGGCUGACUGCGUUUAUCGCCAACUGUUCAGUGACAUGUUUCCUAGCAAUUACGCCCUCGGAAUUGUCGGCACUUAUAUUUCGUAUACGUGACGUGUCAGUCUUGUCGCGUUUCCAUUUCUGUUGCAUUCUACGUCAGUCGCCCAAGAAACGCCACUAUUAGCAUUUUCUGCUUGCACACGCAGUCCAGUUAGAAAAACAUUUGUAUUUGUCGUAAAGCCCAAAGCCGGCACUUCAAGCACCAUUUAACAUCGUAAAUUAUUUUGUACAGAGUAGCGUUGUACGUGACCGUUUCAAUUGUCUCUUCUUGUCAUUCCCUAUACUAGCUCCAACGCAUGGUGUGUUUGCAUUGUCAAAUUAUUAUGUUUCUAUAUCUAAGCGCCUCUGAGACAUAUCAAUCAAAUCCGCCAUCGGAUCCCGUCGUCAUUUUAAGUCGGCCUCCAACAAUGCGUUGCUUUGCAUGUAAAAAUGGCUCUGUGGGUAAUUUGCAUCGGUAUAGUCGGAGAACGGUCUAUGGGAAGAGUGACCUUAGCGAUGGGUUGGGCCUUUUUAACGUCCCGGCACACAGUUAUGGUAACGGUUGUUGGGAAUAAUAUGCCACACAAAGCCUUUUUACAGUCGUGUUUCUCGUUUCCAAACACGAAUAUCACAUGCACUGAUUUAUCUCUAAGGUUAUUCCGGCUUUUAAUUCAUCUCAAGGGCCUUGUUAACGCUCUCGCUGCUUGAUUGUCAUCACCUUUACAAAUUGGAAAACAAAGGCUUGUAAUCGUAUACAGAUCAUAAAUCAGAUGGCACGACAAUAAAGGCAGCUCUUGAUCUGAUGGGAAAUUGAAUUAAAUGGUCCGUCUUGUCGCUGUCAGCGUCGAGAAGAGAGGGGUUAAAUAAUGUGUGUCAGGGGACUGCUUCUGUGUAAAAUAUCUUCUAACCUACCGCAGGCUUUUUAAAGGGCAUUAAUCUCUUCGUGAUAAAUGCAUUUAUGCCGGAUUAAAUUGAAGAUUGCGUUUAGUUUGAGAGAGGGUUGAAUUAUGUGGGUGUGAGUUGGGGGAUUUACCUCAACAGCUCUCGUGUGGGAGUCUCCGGGGACGCGGUGGAGACGAGUAGAGAUCCUGGAUACGUGUUUACUAGCUGCUUAAAUUUGCCCGUCGACAGGCAGAAUUAUUGAAUCAACCUGUCACGUUUGCUCUCGUCUACUUUUGUUAUGUGGUAUUACAAAAGCCUUCAUGAGAUCUUUAUAAAGUUGCACAUUUCAACGAUAUCAUUACCCAGAGGUCCCACAGCCAGAUUAUUUCCAUCUAUGUGUCCUCCGUGAAUGCUUGGAGGGAAAUUUCCUCAUGAAUGUUUUAUGAAUUUGUCCAUCACCCUUCAAACUACAAGCACCUCGAUGUAAAAAAAAUGCAGAAGUCACCUUUAGACACGUAGCAUAAAUUGGACAAGCUCCAUCUCGGAAUAACCUAUUGCCUUUACCAUUCCGGCAUUGGGAACACAUGCAGGACAAAAUCUGAUUCGCUUUUGUUAUGCAGAGAAUCGCGCAGGGGCAUCUGGGCUUGUUUGCCUUUGGUGAGAAAUGGAGAUUGGUUUGGAGGUCUGAAUGAAUUGCUGGCGUCUGUGUUUAUUGCUUUCAUUAAGAUUUAAUGAGUCAAGUGUCCUUCGCACUGACAUAGAUUUUACCCACAGCAUUUGACCGCAGGAAAUGUUGGGUGAGACUAUUGGCAUUCCAGGUAAAUGUGUAUGUUAAUGGCGGGAGCCUACAAGUCAUUUCAUUUGCAAUAUAUAUUUUUCAGAUGUAAAAACAAAUCCAUGGCCGUGAAAGCAAGAAUGUGGUUUGGCCUGUGUCUCUCAACAACAAUUUCACACCAUGCUGCCGGGGCGAGUCCAUGAAGAAGAUUUUGUCUUCUGGUGUGGUGGGUUCCUCCGAGUCGUCCAGGCCUCGACUGCUGUCGCUGUUCACAUCGCUGCUGUCCACCUCCAUUGUGGCAUCAGAGUCUGGACCCGGACUGGCCGGUUCUGAAAACAACGACAUGAUGAGUGUGAAGGAAAGAGAGAGCGAUACGCACCCUUGCACUGCAUGCCCUGACGGAAGAGUCCUUUCAGCAGUUUUUUACAGUACUGACAGAUGGUGGGCCGGGUGUAGUUGUGAAUGACAAAAGUGUGAGGCACCUUC